rnacentral:rRNA from 1 species
AAGGCCCCAGCGUAGAAUCGCGAUGUCUUUGGCAUUGUGAAAUGUUACGUAUAGGUGUCGUAUGUCGUUGUUGAGUUUCACUUGAAGUCCUUUUGAAAGAGGCUGCCGUAGAGGGUGCAAGCCCCCCACAAGUGAACUGUUCAGCGAUCUCUCGGCGCUUUUGAGUCGGGCUGCUUGAAAGUGCAGUCUAAAGUGGGUGAUAAACUUCACCUAAGGCUAAAUAUCAUGGCGAGACCGAUAGCAAACAAGUACCGUGAGGGAAAGUUGGAAAGAACUUUGAAAAGAGAGUUCAAAAGAACGUGAAAUCGCUAACGUGGAAGCGAAUGGAGUCGAUGAAGUGCCGUAACAAAGUUAUCCUACUGGGCUUUACGUCUAGAUGGAUGGCGGUCGUUGUGGUAACUACGCUGACGGCUUUUGCGAUACGCGUUGAACAGUCCUAUGUUGCCCACUUGUGGUGUCUUAUAGACUGGUAGACUUGUUGUUGUGAAAGUUGUUCGUGGCAUUAAUUGCUAUGCGUCGGUGUGAAAGUCGACCACCCAUUCGACCCGUCUUGAAACACGGACCGCGAAGUGUAGCUCGUAUGCGAGUCUCAGAGUGUGAAACUUUGAGGCGUAAUGAAAGUGAAGGCAUCCUUGUGGUGUUGACAUGAGAUCCGUACUUGUGCGGCGCAUCAUGGUCCUGUCCGAAUUGCUUGCAAUGGGGCAGAGACAGAGCAUACGGGCUGCGACCCGAAAGAUGGUGAUCUAUGCUUGAGCAGAACGAAGUCAGAGGAAACUCUGAUGGAAGUUCGUAUAGGUUUUGACGUGCAAAUCGAUCUAUGGACUUGAGUAUAGGGGCGAAAGACUCAUCGAACCAUCUAGUAGCUGGUUCCUGUCGAAGUUUUUCUCAGAAUAGCUUGGGCUUAAUGCCGUUUAUAUCCGAUAAAGAUAAUGAUUAGAGGUAUUGGGAUCGAAACGAUCUCAACCUAUUCUCAAACUUUAAACGAGUAUAAUGCAUAGAGUUGCUUCAAUGAACUCUUUGCUUGAACGAGAGCCCCAAGUGGGCCAUUUCUGGUAAGCAGAACUGGCGAUGUUGAAUGAACCAAACGCCGGGUUAGGGUGCCUGAAUUCGCGCUUAUGAGACCCCAUAAAAGGCGUUAGUUGAUAUAGACAGCAGGACGGUGGCCAUGGAAGUCGGUACCCGCUAAGGAGUGUGUAACAACUCACCUGCCGAAUCAACUAGCCCUGAAAAUGGAUGGCGCUUAAGCGCGGUACCUAUACCCGGCCGCUUCGGUACGAGUUAUGUGUAACAGACCGUAGCGUGUAGACAGGUCGUAGCGAUGGCAUUGAAGGCUUUGGGAGUGAUCUCAGCUGGAGCCGUCGUUAGUGCAGCUCGCGGUAGUAGUAGCAAAUACCUAAGUUCGAUCCUUAGGGACUGAAGUGGGGAAGGUUUCCACGUGAACAGCAGUUGUAUGUGGGUAAGUCGAUCCUAAGAUACUGGCUAACGCCUUGUAUCAAUGAGAGGGUGAAGUCUAACUUUGCUCUUGUUCAUCGAAAGGGAAAAGGGUUAAUAUUCCCUUACGCCAUCGCAGUUAUAGUCGGUCGUAAGAUCGUCUUGUGCGGUAACGCUAUCAAAAUCGACUACGUGCUUUUGUGACCGGGCUAGAGUUUUCUUCUCUAGUUAAGAAACGGACUCCCUGGAAUCGGAUCAUCCGGAGAUAGGGACGUUGUUUUCGAAAAGUACCGCGGUUUCUGUGGUAUCCCGUGCUUACGAACGCACCCUUGAAACGUCGAUGGCGACAGUAACGCUGCAUGGCAUCGUACCGAUAACCGCAUCAGGUCCCCGAGGUGAACAGCCUCUAGUCGAUAGAAUAAUGUAGGUAAGGGAAGUCGGCAAAUUAGAUCCGUAACUUCGGGAAAAGGAUUGGCUCCAGAGACCGGGUCGAUUGGCCAGCAAGUUGAAGCUUGUACUGCUCUAUCCAUGUCUGGCUGAGGUUCGCCGAGGUCGGACUAGUGGUGGAGUGGUCUUGUGGACAUUUGUUGGUGUAUGCAUUGCUCUCGGGCUUUGUAUCCUGAUCGGCCACCAAAACGGUCAAGCUGGAACUGGUACGGACGCGGGGAAUCCGACUGUCUAAUUAAAACAGAGGAAACAGAAGGUCUUUGCAGACGUUGACUGUUUCUGAUUUCUGCCCAGUGCUCUGAAUGUUAAAUCGUAGUAAUUCGAUUAAGCGCGGGUAAACGGCGGGAGUAACUAUGACUCUCUUAAGGUAGCCAAAUGCCUCGUCAUUUAACUGGUGACGCGCAUGAAUGGAUUAACGAGAUUCCUACUGUCCCUAACUACUAUCUAGCGAAACUACAGCCAAGGGAACGGGCUUGGCAGAAAUAGCGGGGAAAGAAGACCCUGUUGAGCUUGACUCUAGCUUGAUUUUGUGAAGAAUCAUGAGAGGUGUAGUAUAGGUGGGAGACUUCGGUCGACAGUGAAAUACCACCACUUUCAUCGAUUCUUUACUCAUUUGAUUGUACAAGGAUGGGCUUCGGCCUAUUUGUUGGUGUUAAACACGGUCACUUGGUGACUGUGCGACUCUUAUCAAUGACAUUGUCAGGCGGGGAGUUUGACUGGGGCGGUACAUCUGUCAAAUCGUAACGCAGGUGUCCUAAGGCUAGCUCAGUGAGGACGGAAACCUCACGUAGAGUAAAAGGGCAAAAGCUCGCUUGAUCUUGACUUUCAGUAUUAGUACAGACCGCGAAAGCGUGGCCUAUCGAUCCUUUUAAUCCAGAUUGUUUCUGGUAAGAGGUGUCAGAAAAGUUACCACAGGGAUAACUGGCUUGUGGCAGCCAAGCGUCCAUAGCGACGUUGCUUUUUGAUCCUUCGAUGUCGGCUCUUCCUAUCAUUGCGAAGCAGAAUUCGCCAAGCGUUGGAUUGUUCACCCCUCAAUAGGGAACGUGAGCUGGGUUUAGACCGUCGUGAGACAGGUUAGUUUUACCCUACUGUUGACGGAUCGUUGCGAUAGUAAUCCUGCUUAGUACGAGAGGAACAGCAGGUUCAAACAUUUGGUUAAUGGACUUGGUCGAUCGACCAAUGGUCCGAAGCUACAAUUUGUUGGAUUAUAACUGAAAGCCUCUAAGUUAGAAUCCGGUCUAGUCAAGGCCAGGAUAAUAUGCCGACCGGUGUCGGGAGGCAUCUCUAUCUCGUGGUAACGCGAGAGCUUAUGCCCUAGUUAUGGCCUUUCCGUUGAGUAUAAUCACUCGGCGGUUGCCAUGCCAGAUUACUCUGGUUCAAUGUCGGGGCACAAAAUCACUUGCAUACGACUUGAUCACUGAUCAGGGUGUUGUAUCCGGUAGAGCAGUAUUCUUACACUGCGAUCUGUUGAGACUAU